rnacentral:rRNA from 1 species
GACGAACGCUGGCGGCGUGCCUAAUACAUGCAAGUUGAGCGCUGAAGGUUGGUACUUGUACCGACUGGAUGAGCAGCGAACGGGUGAGUAACGCGUGGGGAAUCUGCCUUUGAGCGGGGGACAACAUUUGGAAACGAAUGCUAAUACCGCAUAAAGACUUUAAACACAAGUUUUAAGUUUGAAAGAUGCAAUUGCAUCACUCAAAGAUGAUCCCGCGUUGUAUUAGCUAGUUGGUGAGGUAAAGGCUCACCAAGGCGAUGAUACAUAGCCGACCUGAGAGGGUGAUCGGCCACAUUGGGACUGAGACACGGCCCAAACUCCUACGGGAGGCAGCAGUAGGGAAUCUUCGGCAAUGGACGAAAGUCUGACCGAGCAACGCCGCGUGAGUGAAGAAGGUUUUCGGAUCGUAAAACUCUGUUGGUAGAGAAGGACGUUGGUGAGAGUGGAAAGCUCAUCAAGUGACGGUAACUACCCAGAAAGGGACGGCUAACUACGUG